UUAUAAAUAUAUACUACAUUUUACAUUUUUACAAUUUUUUUAAAACAUGAGUAUUCGUACAUCCAAGUUGAUUAGUCGCCACAUUUUAAAGGCUAUAGCAAUCCUAGAAGGCCCACGCCGAAAAUUCAUUCCUGUUGCAGAAGUAGCAAAGCAAAUAAAAAUACAGUUCCGAAGACAUCCACAUCUACUAGACAAUGAGGAUAUGCUACUUCGAUCCCUUGCGUACUUAACUUCUCGUGGAUUUAUUGUUUUUCGAAAAUCGCGUAAUCAUUCGUACUUGACAGCACGCAGCAAUUUGCGAGCUCAAAAAUUACCAAAAAUAAACUCAUUAAGAUGCUGCAGAUGUGGAAAAAGUGUGACCGGAACUAAUGCAGAAAUACGGGAAAACACAAAUACGCUAAUCAAUAACUUGUUGGAUAUUUUAAACUAUUUAAUAAGCGACAUGCAUAUAAAUUCAAAUGAUUCAAUGGAUUCACCUGAUUCAAUGGAUUUGGUUUUACCUGAUUCAUCGGUUUCACCUGAAUGAAAAAAAUGGCAAGCGCAUUGCUUUUUUUUGGCAUAUGUGCAAUACAUUGUUGUAUACAAAUAAAGAGCUGUUGCUUAAAAGCAAACAGUGCGAGCAUGAA